rnacentral:sRNA from 2 species
GGCCAAAAAGAGAGUUAAAUCAGAGGACAACGCUUUGUCGGCUACAACAACAACUUCGCUGGCCAAAAUGAGCUUUAACAGAGAUAAGAACAACCAUGGGUUCCCGGAUUUGCCAUUUGAGCCGGUGUUUCGAGCCGGUAUUCUGAUAUUGGUCACUUCUCCUGCUGGGGAGCUGUCGUUGGGAAUGUGUGAUGGGGAAGGGGGCCCGACUUAGGCUAUCAAGAGAAGGCUAUCAAGAUAAGACCAAGGCCGUUGAAGAAAAUGAAGGAGGAACCAUGAGGUAGUAGCCAGCACAGCCAAUGGCGGUUAGUGGAAGCUUUGUGCUUUACCAACCGUUUUAGUCAGUUGGGACCCACAUCAUUCUGUCGUCGACGAUGGGUUCUCGAUGCGCUUCCUACGAAUGCGAAAAGCUUUACAAUCGUUAUUUUGAAUAUUAUUUAUUACAUUGAUCCCUUGGUAGUAUUGGGAAUAUUCGGGAACAGCGCGUUUCAAUCAUUUUAUCAAAACGUAGAGUUGAUUUGAAGAGAGAGAAAGGCGGUUAAGAGGGAAUAUAUAUGUUGGGGGAAAACAGCUGUCAUAAGUAGCUUGAUAUACCCAAUUCGAAACUAAAUAUUUACCUCUCUAAUCAUAUAUGACACGGAGCGUAUCAUCAGGCGAUGACAUAUCCUUCAGACCGGCCCGCAUCGGACGUCGCAAGAUACGACGAAAUUAUAUGGCAUGUGCGGAGAAAAUGGAAACGGGCCAAUGAAGAAUCCAAGAAAUAAACCAAUUCAUUCUUUGAAAUAGGUACAUACAUGCUUGACUCGUCAACACGAUCGCUUGAUUGGGAAACUUGUUUGGCGUUUCAGCGUUUCUUUUACUUCUGCCCGUACGCUCCGUUACUGCCUCUUCCCAACUUUUGAUUUGUUACAUCCUGUCGUCCAACCCAUCCGCGAAGACCCCACCUAGCUCGGGCAUACUAAGGCCCCUUUUUACACAUUCAGACUCAGAAAAACGUUGUUGUAGGAAUCAGCAACCGUUGGGCCGACCUGCGCCACAGCGAAGGCUCGAUCGUUGAAGACAGGCUUCAAUAACGGCACUACUAUCGAAGUCUGUUAUAGCCGAGGUGUUGAAGGUGACGAGGGAGAGGAUAUCAAUUGAAAUGACUAUGGGGUGGUUGAAGAAGAUAGGGGCGAAAAGAGGGGAUAAAAGAAAUUGUUGUUGGAGAGGAUAAAUGGGUUGGCGACCCAGGUUAAGGUUCAGAGACAGGAGAGCAAAGGAUGGGGCAUAAGACGGAAAGGAGUGGUGGGAGGGGAAAGGGGGAGGAAUAAGGGGGAGGAUGCAGAGGAGAUAACUUGAUUGGCGAUUUGUUUUUUUUUGCUGUUCCGAAUUAGAUCGCAUCGAAUUUGGUCAACUUAAAACUCGAUCAACAUUGUCAAACUGGGGUAGAGGAAAGCCACAAGAUUAAAAAGAAUGAUAAGUGGAUUGAAAGAAUGAAAAAAGAAAGAAAGAAAGAAAAGGAAAAUAGUAGAAAUAAACAAGUCGCAGGGAGCAACCAGUCAACAGCCCCUCUCUUUAUCUAUCCUUCGGGGUACCAUAAGGCACAGGCAAGAUAGAUGUCGAGCCGAAGCCAUAGCCUCAAGAACCAAAAAGCUCAAAUUUACAGAGACUAACAUGUGAACAAACAGAAACAAAACCCCGA